rnacentral:rRNA from 1 species
UACGAAGGGUGCAAGCGUUAAUCGGAAUUACUGGGCGUAAAGCGUGCGUAGGCGGUCUUUUAAGUCCGUUGUGAAAGCCCUGGGCUCAACCUAGGAAUGGCAGUGGAUACUGGAAGGCUGGAGUACGGUAGAGGAGGGUGGAAUUCCCGGUGUAGCGGUGAAAUGCGUAGAGAUCGGGAGGAACAUCAGUGGCGAAGGCGGCCCUCUGGACCAGUACUGACGCUGAGGCACGAAAGCGUGGGGAGCAAACAGG